rnacentral:rRNA from 1 species
GUAAAGGUGAGAGUGGCAAACGGGUGAGUAACACGUAGGCAACCUGCCGACAGGAUGGGGACAACAUUCCGAAAGGAAUGCUAAUACCGAAUGGAGUCCGGGGAUGGCAUCAUCUCCGGAUAAAAGAUGGCCUCUGAAUAUGCUAUCGCCUGUCGAUGGGCCUGCGUCUGAUUAGCCAGUUGGCGGGGUAACGGCCCACCAAAGCGACGAUCAGUAGCCGGUCUGAGAGGAUGAACGGCCACAUUGGGACUGAGACACGGCCCAGACUCCUACGGGAGGCAGCAGUGGGGAAUCUUCCACAAUGGGCGAAAGCCUGAUGGAGCAAACGCCGCGUGAGUGAAAGAAAGGUCUUUCGGAUCGUAAAAGCUCUGU